CUGUUACACCUUGAAAUGCCAGUGCAACAGGCACUCCUAACUGCUUAGAGUCAUGUGUAAAGCUCAUAUAGGGGAAAGAGAGCAAGCCUUGUUUCCUGUAGAGCAUUGUGGCUGGAGGUUGGGAGACCUACCCCUGCUGCUAAAUGCAAGAAGGAUACCGUAGUUUCCUGGUCACAUACUCAACUUUAUACCUGGAUGUAUAAAUGGUUCAUGAAAGCAUUCAUAACAAUGUACCUACCCUUCUAGGCCAGAAAGUUAUGGAUAUUUAAAUACCUUAUUAAUAACUUCUCUAUUGUGUUGCUAUUUGUUUUUAGUUGAGCUAUGAUGCGUUCCCCAGAAAAAGACCCCAAAACAAAUGCUUAUAAAGGGAUUGUAAGCCCCUAUUUGCAGUAGAGUUUCUAUACUGAUCUCAGCGCAUCUAGAAAGUGAAAGGGUUAAUAAGUAUGAUGCUGAGGUUGGAUUUUGUUAGCAAUAUUUCCCUGUGUUAUUAUGAUGAAGGUAGCAGAGCUAGCUAAUCAAAAUCGCUUGUCCUUAAUCAUUUAAAAUUUGAUGAAGCAAUUCAUUCUCAUUGUAUUUUUG
rnacentral:lncRNA from 1 species